UCAAUUUGAAACCAUAAUACACUUACAUGCACACGCACAUGCACACACAAAGUGAACGCCUAAAAGAUGCACUGGCAAACGUGAGCUCUGUGCACUCUUUUUUUUUUUUUUUUUUUCUCUCAGAAGACUCUAGUUAUUGUGCAAUAUUUGCCACGGAGGACAUUCGCGCAUCUCGUGUUUUUAAAAACACAGCGCCUCUACACAGGCUAUUCAUAGUCAGAUAGCUAUGCCCAUGGUAGAGAUAACAAAGAUAAGGGGUAAAAUUCUAAUCUUUGUUAUCAUGUAAAGUUACAAGUGGUUUGGUGUUGCUUGUAUAAAGCUGUCACAGAUGUGGGUUCCUGCUUUCAGGGGAUUUUUUUUGUUUCUUUGUUAACACUUAACGGCUAACAGUAGUGACCUUUGUUAUUAAGAUACAUCACAUAGACCAGUGCUAAUUAGUGCUAAGCAAAAUACAGAUUAAAUAUUGCAAUUUUACUAACCAUGACUGGAUCACAGUUGACUGUUGGUGAGCAAAACCAUAUUUUGUAGCAUGCUGUGAACAUGUCUGACCUGCUGUAAAGUUGGGCAUUUUAACAUAUGAGUCUCACUGUCGGGGUCAUCCUUUAGUGGCCAUUUAAGGAACUGCAGGGUUUGGCACUCACACACUGGUUUCAUUUCUUAGUUCUGGAGAUGUCUCCAUGGUACAAACUGAAAAAUAAUUUAACUUUACAUUUGCACAAUUGCUCCGUUUUGGAAAUCUCAUUUAUGGAAACACAACUUAAAUUAAGACAUUCAGCAACAUAUUUAUGAUUUAUAGUUGGCGUGUUUGACCUUUUAGAAAUAUAAACAGUUCAGUACCAAUUAGAGUUGCUGUUAUCUAUAACUGAUAUUGUCUGAACAUCAGCUCUACUCUAAAUGUCACUGUAAUCUCUUGUCAAAUAUGAAUGUGACUAACCUCAAACCUCAAACUGACUGUAGCCAAGUUUUAUUUACUGUAGUUUUCUAGGUCCCAUAAACAAGUUUUUCAUAAGCAAACAUGACGCUGUAUGUCAAAGCUUUCAUUCUACAAAAACUGCUAUUCAGAUUUUUUUGCUAUGACUUUGCUUUUUAUAUUUAGUGUCACACCGCCUCUGCAGUCCAAACUGCCAGACUUUAAACUGUCAAAACUUUAGAUAAUGUCAUUUUUAAAGCUUGUUGGACAAAAAAAAAAAAAA